GUAGGUGAACCUGCGGAAGGAUCAUUAACACUCCAAAACCCUCAUAGCUCUGGGAAACCAGAGUUUAUGAAACCCUUAUUCACUUUAACGAACCCGCGAAGAAGAAGAAGAAGAAGAAGAAAAAGAAGCUAUUUUUUUUUCUCUCUCUCUUCUGCUUUGCACCUUCUUUUCUCUUGUCCAUUUUUAAUUUUUAACCCCAAUCAUUUAUAAAACAUUUGACUGACUGGAAGAUCUCGUGUCUUCCGUUGCU
rnacentral:misc_RNA from 1 species